UCAAACUCCUUGAAUCUUAGAUCUAGGAAACUUUCACGUUACUUUUUUGGCCAAAUUCUUGAAGCUACAACCACUACCACCCCAAAAUACUUACAUCAAUGGAUAGAGCUCCUCAAGACCUAGCUAUUGAUGUCAAUUCUACCCCAAAAAUCUGGCGACCAAAAUCCGACCUAAUUCCGGCGACCUCCCCGAACACCCUCUUUGGCAUACCACCAUUUUUCGGUCCUUUGAUGUAUAAAAUGAUGUUUUCACAUUAACAAGAAGAUUUGAACUCAUCUUGAUUGUUGGGAGCAUGUCCAUUUAAAUAAAUGAGUGCUUAGCUAAAUUUCUUUAUUGUUUAAAUAUAUCUUGUUGUAGUUCAUAUGUAAAAUAAAUCCUUGGUUGAUCAAACACUUUUUUAUUCA